GGAUGUGAGGACAAUCUGGCUGAGACAUCUGUCACCCCAUUGAUUGUCAGGGUUGCCUUGGCUGAUCUGGUUGGCGAGGGAGGUGUCCCCCUCCUCCCUCAACACUCCAUGGGUGUCCCUCCUGAAGCUGCAUACUCCAUCAGAGGACAACUUUCCCCAAUAGAGGAGGACCAUUCUUCAGUGUAGGGUAUAUGAGUAGCUGAGCUCUCUCUUGCUAGAAUGUCCAAAUAAGUUCUCAAGGUCCAUUUGUAGAGCAUAGGGUAGCCAAACUUCCAAAGCUCCAGACAUGUCCAAAUGAGGUGCUGCGUGUGGCAGUCUGCCUUUCAAA
rnacentral:snRNA from 1 species